rnacentral:siRNA from 1 species
GAACGGACUUAGCCAACGACACGU